UGAUGUGAGAGCUAUCUGGCUGUGACAUCUGUCACCCAUUAAUGGUGAAGUUGAUUCUUGGCUGACCUGGCUGGCUAAGCAAGCAUCCCCUUCCUCCCUCACUGCUCCAUGUGAGACUCUCCUGAAGCUAUACUUGGUUCAGGAGGGUGCCUGUCCUCAAUACAGGAGGACUGUUCUUUGAUGAAGGGUGUGUACAUGAACAGCUGUACUCCCCAGCUAGAAAUAAACAUCCCAAACACCUCAGGAGAGCUUGGGUGGAGAACUGCAUCCCAAAGGAUGCACUAUGUGGUCCAGCUGGUCAGCAGGGUGCAAA
rnacentral:snRNA from 1 species